rnacentral:rRNA from 1 species
CGGAGGGUGCAAGCGUUAUCCGGAUUCACUGGGUUUAAAGGGUGCGUAGGUGGUCUGUAAGUCCGUGGUGAAAUCUCCGAGCUUAACUUGGAAACUGCCAUGGAUACUAUAGGUCUUGAAUACUGUGGAGGUCAGCGGAAUAUGUCAUGUAGCGGUGAAAUGCUUAGAUAUGACAUAGAACACCAAUUGCGAAGGCAGCUGGCUACACAAAUAUUGACACUGAUGCACGAAAGCGUGGGGAUCAAACAGGAUUAGAUACCCUGGUAGUCCACGCCCUAAACGAUGGAUACUCGACAUUUGCGAUAAACUGCAAGUGUCUGAGCGAAAGCAUUAAGUAUCCCACCUGGGAAGUACGAUCGCAAGAUUG